rnacentral:lncRNA from 1 species
UAUCAACCGAAAGAAAUAAGUAAAAGAGAUGGCUAGAAUUUCAUUAGGAUGAAAAUACGUAAUGACCCCUCAUCUAUAAUCUAUAAGUUAUAUUAAAAUUGAUCCUUCAACUUUAAAAGUAUUUUUUUUUUAUUUACUAUCGGAUAUUUUACUGGGUACGGGUCGGGUCCGUAUUUGAAAACUAUUCCGGACCCUGUCUAUUUAAAAGUUAGGUUCGGAUCAGGUCCAAAUCGAGUAAGGGUAUAAAAUAUUCGGACUCAUACCCAAAACUUCAAUGGUAAUUUUUUUUAUCCGUAUACUAUUUAUUUUUUAUCGAGUCCGAUUUGGGUUCGGAUAGGGUCCGGGUCGGAUAUGGGAUAUCGGAUAUUUUGUACUGCUUUAUGUUUUACUUGUCAAAGUAAAGUUUAAAUUAAAAUAGAUUUUCAAUUGAACUAGAGUUAAAUAAAAAUUACU